AUUGAACGCUGGCGGCAUGCUUUACACAUGCAAGUCGAACGGCAGCGCGGGGCAACCUGGCGGCGAGUGGCGAACGGGUGAGUAAUAUAUCGGAACGUACCCAGAAGUGGGGGAUAACGUAGCGAAAGUUACGCUAAUACCGCAUACGAUCUACGGAUGAAAGUGGGGGAUCGCAAGACCUCAUGCUUUUGGAGCGGCCGAUAUCUGAUUAGCUAGUUGGUAGGGUAAAGGCCUACCAAGGCGACGAUCAGUAGCUGGUCUGAGAGGACGACCAGCCACACUGGGACUGAGACACGGCCCAGACUCCUACGGGAGGCAGCAGUGGGGAAUUUUGGACAAUGGGCGCAAGCCUGAUCCAGCAAUGCCGCGUGAGUGAAGAAGGCCUUCGGGUUGUAAAGCUCUUUUGUCAGGGAAGAAACGGCCGAGGCUAAUACCUUUGGCUAAUGACGGUACCUGAAGAAUAAGCACCGGCUAACUACGUG
rnacentral:rRNA from 1 species